AUUGAGUCUAGUUUUGUGAGAAACAAACAGAAUAGUCAUUAAAACUCUGGACAGGGAUAUAUUUGAUCCGUAAUACACAGGGGUCAGAGUAGCCAAACCCUAAAACAGGGGAGACUUUAACUAAUAAACUGUACUAAUUGGCCCAACCAAAAAUUCUAGAAAAAAUUUAGUAAGUAGAUAUAUGAGUCUAUUUUCAGGGAAAAUUUACAGAAUUGGAUUUCGGGUUUCGUAACUCGAGAUAUGGAUUUUUUUAGCGACUAUGACGCAUUUAGCCA
rnacentral:lncRNA from 1 species